UUAAUUGGGCGUUAAGUUGCAGGGUAUAGACCCGAAACCCGGUGAUCUAGCCAUGGGCAGGUUGAAGGUUGGGUAACACUAACUGGAGGACCGAACCGACUAAUGUUGAAAAAUUAGCGGAUGACCUGUGGCUGGGGGUGAAAGGCCAAUCAAACCGGGAGAUAGCUGGUUCUCCCCGAAAGCUAUUUAGGUAGCGCCUCGUGAAUUCAUCUCCGGGGGUAGAGCACUGUUUCGGCCAGGGGGCCAUCCCGGCUUACCAACCCGAUGCAAACUGCGAAUACCGGAGAAUGUUAUCACGGGAGACACACGGCGGGUGCUAACGUCCGUCGUGAAGAGGGAAACAACCCAGACCGCCAGCUAAGGUCCCAAAGUCAUGGUUAAGUGGGAAACGAUGUGGGAAGGCCCAGACAGCCAGGAUGUUGGCUUAGAAGCAGCCAUCAUUUAAAGAAAGCGUAAUAGCUCACUGGUCGAGUCGGCCUGCGCGGAAGAUGUAACGGGGCUAAACCAUGCACCGAAGCUGCGGCAGCGAACGUAUCACUUAAAGCGAUUCAGCGGAUGACGAUUGACGGAGCGAAGCGACGUCAAAGCGUUUUACAACGUCGAGUCGGUUUAAGGAUACGUUCGUUGGGUAGGGGAGCGUUCUGUAAGCCUGCGAAGGUGUGUCGUGAGGCAUGCUGGAGGUAUCAGAAGUGCGAAUGCUGACAUAAGUAACGAUAAUGCGGGUGAAAAACCCGCACGCCGGAAGACCAAGGGUUCCUGUCCAAC
rnacentral:rRNA from 1 species